rnacentral:lncRNA from 10 species
CCCAGUUCUCCAACCCCAUAAAGUUAGAAUGCAGUCUGUGAGUACUCUCUGCUCUAAUCAAGAAGGAAGGGGCUUCAGCUUCAAAUGUCAAUGCUGUAAACAUGUUAAAUCUGGAAAAUAUUUUCUAAGCAAGCAACCAUGUGUAAAAUUUACCGAACUUGUCAUGAAAGGGCUGCAGCUGCAAACCUGCAAACUUCUCACUUCCAUGAAGACUCCAGAUGCUGAGACAGGGAAGAGAGGUUUCAGCUUGGCUCCCCAGCUGUUGCACCUUAGAGCUUUGCAUGCCGCCAUCUUCUCAGCGUUUCACCAGUUACAGGGAUCACCUGUGUAUUUGCUGGUGGCUGUCUAAUAAAAGAUGUGGGUGUGGAGGAAAUAGAUUUUUAAUCAUCUGAAUGUUAUAGAGUUUCUUCUUAGGUAUGAAGAGAAUCUAUUAUCUUGAUUAGAUAUAAAUUCAAAACAAAUGUUGAAUACCGGCUGUUGUAUUCUCAACAUUUUAGAAUUCAACUUUAAAUGAAAUCUUCAAAAAAGCAAGUCCAAGAAAAACCUCAUAGUAAUAUUUGUGUCUCAUUCACUACCAUCACCAAAUGAUAUUGAUUGCAGUACCUGAAGAAAUCAUUAGGCACCAUAUGACACUGAUGUCUAUUUAGAGUGUUUUUUAUUCUGUAUUGGAAAAUAAAGCACAUUACCUAAAUGAUUCAAAUGGCAAGAAAAAAAUUUAUCCCUAAAAGCCAUCUGUGAAUUAGCAUAUGGGCUUCUGGAACCCAACAUCUUGAUUCUAUAUGUGAGUCAGGAGGAAAAAAAACAACAAAAAAAGAAUGAAAGGAAGAAAAUGGGAUCCUGUCUCUAAAUAUAAAACAAGAAAUGCUUUUAUUCAAUCAAGGAGAUUUCAAAGAAAGUAUUUAUGAGAAUGAAGUAGUCAGCUGGACCUCACAGAGGCUUCACCC